AUUUAGGUAGCUUAAAUUUAAAGCUUAAUAUUGAAGAUAUUAAAAUAGAAGUUCUUUCUCCUAAAUA
rnacentral:tRNA from 1 species